rnacentral:rRNA from 1 species
GAUGAACGCUGGCGGCGUGCCUAACACAUGCAAGUCGAGCGGACAGACGAAGCUCUUGCUUGUCUUCCGCUAGGGGCGGGUGGGUGAGGCAUACGAGUCUGCCCUACCUAUAAGACUGGCAUCACUUAAGGAAAGCGGAUCUAGCACCCGAUCAGAUAUUGAACCUCGGGGUUCUUUGGAGAAAACCGGUUUUGCUGUCCCUAAUAGAUGGUUCCGGGCCGGUUUAGCUAGUUGGUAGGGUAACGGCCUACCAAGGCUACGAUGCGUAGCCGACCUGAGAGGGUGAUCGGCCACACUGGAACUGAGACACGGUCCAGACUCCUACGGGAGGCAGCAGUAGGGAAUCUUGGGCAAUGGGCGAAAGCCUGACGGAGCAACGCCGCGUGUGUGAAGAAGGUCUUCGGAUCGUAAAGCUCUGUUAGUAGGGAAGAACAGAUGUGUAAGUAAACAUGGCCGUCUUGACGGUACCUAAUCAAAAAGCAACGGCUAACUACGUG